GCCAGACUCCUACGGGAGGCAGCAGUGGGGAAUAUUGCACAAUGGGGGAAACCCUGAUGCAGCGACGCCGCGUGAAGGACGAAGUAUUUCGGUACGUAAACUUCUCUCAGCAGGGAAGAAAAUGACGGUACCUGACCAAGAAGCCCCGGCUAACUACGUGCCAGCAGCCGCGGUAAUACGUAGGGGGCAAGCGUUAUCCGGAUUUACUGGGUGUAAAGGGGGCGCAGACGGCGAUGCAAGCCAGGAGUGAAAGCCCGGGGCCCAACCCCGGGACUGCUCUUGGAACUGCGUGGCUGGAGUGCAGGAGGGGCAGGCGGAAUUCCUGGUGUAGCGGUGAAAUGCGUAGAUAUCAGGAGGAACACCGGUGGCGAAGGCGGCCUGCUGGACUGCAACUGACGUUGAGGCCCGAAAGCGUGGGGAGCAAACAGGAUUAGAUACCCCUGUAA
rnacentral:rRNA from 1 species